GGACUACCCGGGUAUCUAAUCCUGUUUGCUACCCUAGCUUUCGCACCUCAGCGUCAGUAUCGGACCAGAGAGCCGCCUUCGCCACGGGUGUUCCUCCUGAUAUCUACGCAUUUCACCGCUACACCAGGAAUUCCGCCCUCCUCUACCGAACUCAAGCCGAACAGUAUCCGAUGCAAUUUCGCAGUUAAGCUGCGAACUUUCACAUCGGACUUAUCCGGCCGCCUACGCGCCCUUUACGCCCAGUAAUUCCGGACAACGUUUGACACCUCUGUAUUACCGCGGCUGCUGGCAC
rnacentral:rRNA from 1 species